rnacentral:rRNA from 1 species
GAUGAACGCUGGCGGCGUGCCUAAUACAUGCAAGUCGAGCGAGAUAGAUUUGAAAGCUUGCUUUCAAAUCUAUCUAGCGGCGGACGGGUGAGUAACACGUGGGUAACCUGCCCUUUAGAUUGGGAUAACAUCAGGAAACUGGUGCUAAUACCGAAUAGGAGGCUUGGUCGCAUGACCGAGCUUGGAAAGGUGGCGUAGGCUACCACUAAAGGAUGGACCCGCGGCGCAUUAGCUAGUUGGUGGGGUAACGGCCUACCAAGGCGACGAUGCGUAGCCGACCUGAGAGGGUGAUCGGCCACACUGGGACUGAGACACGGCCCAGACUCCUACGGGAGGCAGCAGUAGGGAAUCUUCGGCAAUGGGCGAAAGCCUGACCGAGCAACGCCGCGUGAGUGAAGAAGGUUUUCGGAUCGUAAAACUCUGUUGUAAGGGAAGAACAGCAGGUAGUUAAAUAAGCUACUUGUGUGACGGUACCUUAUUAGAAAGCCACGGCUAACUACGUGCCAGCAGCCGCAGUAA